GAUGAAGAACGCAUCGAAAUGCGAUAAGUAGUGUGAAUUGCAGAAUUCAGUGAAUCAUCGAAUCUUUGAACGCACAUUGCGCCCCUUGGUAUUCCAUGGGGCAUGCCUGUUCGAGCGUCAUUUGUACCUUCAAGCUCUGCUUGGUGUUGGGUGUUUGUCUCGCCUCUGCGUGUAGACUCGCCUCAAAACAAUUGGCAGCCGGCGUAUUGAUUUCGGAGCGCAGUACAUCUCGCGCUUUGCACUCAUAACGACGACGUCCAAAAGUACAUUUUUACACUCUUGACCUCGGAUCAGGUAGGGAUACCCGCUGAACUUAAGCAUAUCAAUAAGCGGAGGA
rnacentral:misc_RNA from 1 species